GAUGAACGCUGGCGGCGUGCUUAACACAUGCAAGUCGAACGAUGAAGCCCAGCUUGCUGGGUGGAUUAGUGGCGAACGGGUGAGUAACACGUGAGUAACCUGCCCUUAACUCUGGGAUAAGCCUGGGAAACUGGGUCUAAUACCGGAUAGGAGCGUCCACCGCAUGGUGGGUGUUGGAAAGGUUUAUCGGUUUUGGAUGGACUCGCGGCCUAUCAGCUUGUUGGUGAGGUAAUGGCUCACCAAGGCGACGACGGGUAGCCGGCCUGAGAGGGUGACCGGCCACACUGGGAUUGAGACACGGCCCAGACUCCUCCGGGAGGCAGCAGUGGGGAAUAUUGCACAAUGGGCGCAAGCCUGAUGCAGCGACGCCGCGUGAGGGAUGACGGCCUUCGGGUUGUAAACCUCUUUCAGUAGGGAAGAAGCGAAAGUGACGGUACCUGCAGAAGAAGCACCGGCUAACUACGUG
rnacentral:rRNA from 1 species